GUUGACCUACGGGGCGCAGCAGUGAGGAAUAUUGGUCAAUGUCGGGAGACUGAACCAGCCAAGCCGCGUGAGGGAUGAAGGUACAGAGUAUCGUAAACCUCUUUUGUCGGGGAACAAAGGCGGGGACGUGUCCCCGGAUGAGUGUACCUGAAGAAAAAGCAUCGGCUAACUCCGUGCCAGCAGCCGCGGUAAUACGGAGGAUGCGAGCGUUAUCCGGAUUUAUUGGGUUUAAAGGGUGCGCAGGCGGCCUGUUAAGUCAGCGGUAAAAGCCCGGGGCUCAACCCCGGCGAGCCGUUGAAACUGGG
rnacentral:rRNA from 1 species